CGUCCUGCAAAGAUGACUGCAAGAGCACAGCGCAGAAUGCUCAAUGAGGUAAAGAAGAAUCCUAGUGUCAGCUGAACACUUACAUAAAUCUCUGGAACAUGCUAACAUCUCUGUUGACGAGUCUACGAUAUGUAAAACACUAAAACAAGAAUGGUGUUCAGGGAAGAAGCCACCGCUGUCCAAAAAAAAACUAAUUUUGAAGUUCGCAAAAGUGCACCUGGAUGUUCCACAGCGCUACUGUCAAAAUAUUCUGUGGACAAAUAAAACUCAAAUGAAGUUGUUUUGAAGGAACACACAACACUAUGUGUGGAGAGAAAAAAAGGCACAGCACACCAAUUCUUCCCAAAGAUUAUCAAGACAUUUUGCAGGAGAAUGUUGGGCUAUCUGUCCGCCUAUUGAAGCUCUACAGAUGUUGGGUGAUGCAACAGGAAACGCAGAAGUAAAUCAACAACAGAAUGGCUUCAACAGAAGACAAUACGCCUUCUGGAGUGACCCAGUCCUGACCUCAACCCGAUUGAGAUGCUGUGUCCUGACCUCAACCCGAUUGAGAUGCUGUGGGACGACCUCAAGAGAGCCGUUCACACCAGACAUCCUAAGAAUUUGAACUGAACUGAAACAGUUUUGUAAAGAGGACAUUCCUCCUGACUGUUGCGCCGGUCUGAUCUGCAACUACAGAAAACAUUUGGUUGAUGUUGUUGCUGCCAAAGGAGGGUCAACCAGUUAUUAAAUCCAAGGGUUCACCUACUUUUCCCACCCUGCACUGUGAAUGUUUACACGCUGUGUUACACAGAGACAUGAAAACGUAUCGUUUUAAGUGUGUUAUUAGUUUAAGUAGACUAUGUUUGUGAUAGGUGAGAAUUGUCUUUUAAUUGAAUGAUUAGAAUAUUCCCUCCUGAAACAUAUAAUUGUAUGGAAUUGAUUAGAAUGUUUGAAAUCAUAAUCAAUAAAUGUGUAGUCCUAGUCAGAAUUAGGGUAAAACAAUAUGUCUUUAUGGUAUUUUAAACACAGACUGUCUGAGCUUGGUGCCGACCUGACUAGAGAUUUGGGAGAGAAUGGGGAGUACGUCUCGAGGACAAGGUCACUAUCUCUGUCGGCUGGGAAGUGAGACAGACAGUGUGUGUAGCAGGACAAGGUCACUAUCUCCGUCGGCUAGGUAGUGAGACAGACAGUGUAGCAGGACAAGGUCACUAUCUCUGUCGGCUGGGAAGUGAGACAGACAGUGUGUGUAGCAGGACAAGGUCACUAUCUCUGUCGGCUGGGAGUGAGACAGACAGUGUUGCAGGACAUGUGUGUGAGUAUGUUUGUGUGUGUGUGUGUGUGUAUGUUUGUAUGUGUGUGCGUAUGUGUGUGCGUAUGUGUGUGCGUAUGUGUGUGUGUGUAUGUGUGUGUGUAUGUUUGUGCGUAUGGUUGUGUGUAUGUUUGUGCUUAUGGUUGUGCGUAUGUUUGUGUGUAUGUGUGUGUGUAUGGUUGUGUGUAUGUGUGUGUGUGUGUGUGUGUGUGUGUGUGUGUGUGUGUGUGUGUGUGUG
ensembl:lncRNA